rnacentral:rRNA from 1 species
UACGUAGGGUGCCAGCGUUGUUCGGACUUACUGGGCGUAAAGGGUUCGUAGGCGGUGCGGCAAGUUGGGAGUGAAAUCUCUGGGCUCAACCCAGAGGCUGCUUCCAAAACUGCCGUGCUUGAGUGUGGGAGAGGCGCGUGGAAUUGCAGGUGUAGCGGUGAAAUGCGUAGAUAUCUGCAGGAACACCCGUGGCGAAAGCGGCGCGCUGGACCACUACUGACGCUGAGGAACGAAAGCGAGGGGAGCAAACAGG